rnacentral:rRNA from 1 species
GUCCAUGCCCUAAACGUUGAAUACUCGAUGUGUGCGAUAUACAGUACGCGUCUAAGCGAAAGCAUUAAGUAUUCCACCUGGGGAGUACGCUCGCAAGGGUGAAACUCAAAGGAAUUGACGGGGGCCCCGCACAAGCGGUGGAGCAUGUGGUUUAAUUCGAUGAUACGCGAGGAACCUUACCUGGGCUUGAAAGUUAGUGACCGCUCCUGAAAGGGAGCUUUUCUUCGGAACACGAAACUAGGUGCUGCAUGGCUGUCGU